rnacentral:rRNA from 1 species
AAGUGGAGCAAUCCAUGAGUAAAGUGGCGACCGGGUGAGUAACACGUGACUAACCUACCUUCGAGUGGGGAAUAACCUCGGGAAACCGGGGCUAAUACCGCAUAAUGUCUUCGGACCAAAGGAGCAAUUCGCUGGAAGAGGGGGUCGCGGCCGAUUAGCUAGUUGGCGGGGUAACGGCCCACCAAGGCAAUGAUCGGUAGCCGGCCUGAGAGGGCGCACGGCCACACUGGAACUGAAACACGGUCCAGACUCCUACGGGAGGCAGCAGUGGGGAAUUUUGCGCAAUGGGGGAAACCCUGACGCAGCAACGCCGCGUGGAGGAUGAAGCCCCUUGGG